GAUGAACGCUAGCGGCAGGCCUAACACAUGCAAGUCGAGGGGUAACAUAGAAAAGCUUGCUUUUCUGAUGACGACCGGCGCACGGGUGCGUAACGCGUAUACAACCUACCUUUUAGCGGGGAAUAGCCCAGGGAAACUUGGAUUAAUGCCUCAUAGUAUAUAAGCUUCUCCUGAAGUUUAUAUUAAACAUUUAUGGCUAUUAGAUGGGUAUGCGUCCUAUUAGUUAGUUGGUAAGGUAACGGCUUACCAAGGCAGCGAUAGGUAGGGGUCCUGAGAGGGAGAUCCCCACACUGGUACUGAGACACGGACCAGACUCCUACGGGAGGCAGCAGUGAGGAAUAUUGGACAAUGGGCGAGAGCCUGAUCCAGCCAUGCCGCGUGCAGGAAGACUGCCCUAUGGGUUGUAAACUGCUUUUACAGAGGAAGAACCACCCCCACGUGUGGGGGGUUUGACGGUACUCUGCGAAUAAGGAUCGGCUAACUCCGUG
rnacentral:rRNA from 1 species